rnacentral:sRNA from 1 species
UAAGCUCCUGCACCUUAUUCCGAAUAGGUUUAAUGAAAGGGCCUAUCUGACUGGAAAUGCCGCAAAAGUCGGCAAUACUUCUCAUAUCAGAUGCAGCACCUCCCCCAAGUGCCGCAUCUGGCAGAGCCGGCCCCGUCCGGCUUUGUAUCACUCCUAAUGGUCUUGACCCGAAUUUCUCCCCCGGAAUUCGG